rnacentral:piRNA from 1 species
AAGGGUGUAAUACAUCCAAGGAGGUAU